GGCUCAAGUCAUGGCAGUAAAUUUGUGUCUAUACUCUGCCACUUUACUUUUGGCCUCAAGUCAUUGCGGUAAAGUGGCAGAGUGUAGACACAAAUUUAGGCCUUCUGACUCC
rnacentral:pre_miRNA from 4 species